GGCGGAUCUCCGGUCCAGCGGGACUCUGGGGUUCGAGUUCAGCCGCACGCGGUGCUCGUACACCGCCGCCACAUAGGACAGAUGAUCCGCGGCGAGGAUGAGGUGCAGUCCGCUCAAAUAGAGCAAAACCCCGGCAAACCCGAGCGCCAUGAGCAGGGUGAACACGAACUCGUGUGGGUCAGUCUGCCGUGAGCUCAAAAUGAAAGUCAAUUCGAUCCAAUGUUCUUCAAAAUAUUUGGUGUUCCACAGAAGAAAAGUUCGGAAGUACACAAGGUAAUUGCACAUCUCCGCCUCUUGCGAGGGUGUAAUGUGUAACAUUCAAAUAAAAGCCCAAGAUCAACUCUGCUGUUCACAUUUACAUCCUUCCAGAGAAUCGACAGACGCAGAGAACAGUCAUCAGUGGCAAACGUGACCUGAAUAUGGCUUCCAAAACUCAAAUACUACUACUACUGCUAGUGGCUGUAAUGAUUGCAAGCUAUGGUCUUACCAAUGCCACCGCAGCCAACAGUACAGCCAACAGCACCGCGGGAUCUCUUUCUCCUGUGGGGAUGGUGGGGCUGCCUGGUCUUCUGAUCUACACGCUCACCUCCACUGCGAUUCUCAAACUCUUCCAGCUCAUCUGAUCAUCAACUCCUGUCUGUCACACAGCUAAACCUAUGGGAUAUGGGGUCUGCACAAGUUUUUAGCACUUUAAUGUCAGACUGUGUCAGAUUACUGAUGGUUUUUGCAGAUACUUACUGCUCUGAUAAUUAUCUGCAUGCUAUGAAAAUCUAGAAAAAAAUAUGUAUGAUUGUAUAUAAAGACUUAAGAAUAAAGAAGGAAAAAAACA